rnacentral:rRNA from 1 species
UACGGGGGGAGCAAGCGUUGUUCGGAUUUACUGGGCGUAAAGGGCGCGUAGGCGGCCAGCACAAGUCAGUUGUGAAAUCUCCGGGCUUAACUCGGAACGGCCAAGUGAAACUGUCAUGCUAGAGUGCAGAAGGGGCAAUCGGAAUUCUUGGUGUAGCGGUGAAAUGCGUAGAUAUCGAGAGGAACACCUGCGGCGAAGGCGGGUUGCUGGGCUGACACUGACGCUGAGGCGCGAAAGCUAGGGGAGCGAACGGG